CCUACGGGAGGCAGCAGUGAGGAAUAUUGGUCAAUGGGCGCGAGCCUGAACCAGCCAAGUAGCGUGAAGGAUGACUGCCCUACGGGUUGUAAACUUAUUUUAUAAAGGAAUAAAGUGAGGCACGUGUGCCUUUUUGUAUGUACUUUAUGAAUAAGGAUCGGCUAACACCGUGCCAGCAGCCGCGGUAAUACGGAGGAUCCGAGCGUUAUCCGGAUUUAUUGGGUUUAAAGGGAGCGUAGAUGGGUUGUUAAGUCAGUUGUGAAAGGUUGCGGUUCAACCGUAAAAUUGCAAUUGAUACUGGCAGUCGUGAGUACAGGUGAGGUAGGCGGAAUUCGUGGUGUAGCGGUGAAAUGCUUAGAUAUCACGAAGAACUCCGAUUGCGAAGGCAGCUUACGAAACUGCCACUGACGUUGAUGCUCGAAAGUGUGGGUAUCAAACAGGAUUAGAUACCCCAGUAGUC
rnacentral:rRNA from 1 species